rnacentral:lncRNA from 1 species
AAUCUGAGAAGCUUGUUUGUCAUUGAUGAUUGCUUUCUUCCUCCACCAUCGUCGUCAAUGGAAACGAGAAUCCUUUGACCUCUCCUCUCAGUCGUCUCUCUCUCUCGCCAUCUCCGCCGUCGGUCUGAGGCAUCAUCUUGGUCGAAGAAGAAUCAGCAUCAACUUCCAUCACGCUCAUGAAAUUGGUCGAAGAAGAAGAAUCAGCCCUUCUUUUGGUUGGUGAAGAUUUGGCGAAGAGCAACGGCAAGCCAAAGAUGAAAAACUCAUGAAAUUCGAUGAAAUCGAAGAGAAUAGAGGCAAUCUUGGUUCGUGAAGCAGAAGCAAGAUUCUACUGCACACGUUGAUAUCACAGGCUAUCAAUGCUGGUCUCUGUGUCAGAGAGAGAAGUGGCCUGAUGCCCACAACAAGAAAGCAGGAGCACAUAGUUUCGAAGCAAGCAAUGAAACACCAAUCUUAUAUGACAUUUUUGGAAGACAGCAUAUGUUGAGAGAUUCUCAGACAUUUCAUCCUUUCUUUCUCUUGUCUUCUCUCCUUGCAAACUCAUUAGUUCGUUUUGGUUACUUGGUAGUUUUAAUGUUAUUGACUAAAUCAGUUUUAGAUGAUUCUGUUUCACUUUUUAACAAGUCAAUCAACUUAUGGUUUGAAAUAGAGGUUCGUAGCUCUGAAGAAAGAGCUUAUAGACAAGGUUCUGAUGCAUAAAGUGUUCUUGGAAGAUA